rnacentral:rRNA from 1 species
UACGUAGGGGGCAAGCGUUGUCCGGAUUUAUUGGGCGUAAAGCGCGUGUAGGCGGCUUGGCAAGUCCGCUGUGAAAACUCGAGGCUUAACCUCGAGAUGUCAUCGGAAACCAUCUGGCUAGAGUCCGGAAGAGGAGAGUGGAAUUCCUGGUGUAGCGGUGAAAUGCGCAGAUAUCAGGAAGAACACCAAUGGCGAAAGCAGCUCUCUGGGACGGUACUGACGCUGAGACGCGAAAGCGUGGGGAGCGAACAGG